GAUGAACGCUGGCGGCGUGCCUAAUACAUGCAAGUCGAGCGAACAGACGAGGAGCUUGCUCCUCUGACGUUAGCGGCGGACGGGUGAGUAACACGUGGAUAACCUACCUAUAAGACUGGGAUAACUUCGGGAAACCGGAGCUAAUACCGGAUAAUAUAUUGAACCGCAUGGUUCAAUAGUGAAAGACGGUUUUGCUGUCACUUAUAGAUUGAUCCGCGCCGCAUUAGCUAGUUGGUAAGGUAACGGCUUACCAAGGCAACGAUGCGUAGCCGACCUGAGAGGGUGGUCGGCCACACUGGAACUGAGAAACGGUCCAGACUCCUACGGGAGGCAGCAGUAGGGAAUCUUCCGCAAUGGGCGAGAGCCUGACGGAGCAACGCCGCGUGAGUGAUGAAGGUCUUCGGAUCGUAAAACUCUGUUAUUAGGGAAGAACAAAUGUGUAAGUAACUAUGCACGUCUUGACGGUACCUAAUCAGAAAGCCACGGCUAACUACGUG
rnacentral:rRNA from 1 species